UGAAACGGGUUUGGUUAUUCCAAGUGCCAAUAGUCACAACACACAGGAUCAGUUGAUAUAUAUAUUUUAACAGACUAUUCAGAUAUAUAUAUAUAUAUUUCCAGAAGUAUAUGACCCUUCUAUCAGAGUACUGCAUGUAUAUAGAAUGGAUUAUUUUUUAAUGAAGACAGAAUUAUUAUUAUACAAAGACAGUAUAUAUUUAACCUCCCCCAUGAUAUUAUAGCACUUAAUGAGGUCUAACACAGUAAAUUACAGACCUACAGACAGUAUAUCUCCCCAUGAUAUUAUAGCACUUAAUGAGGUCUAACACAGUAAAUUACAGACCUACAGACAGUAUAUCUCCCCAUGAUAUCAUAGCACUUAAUGAGGUCUAACACAGUAAAUUACAGACAGUAUAUCUCCCCAUGAUAUUAUAGCACUUAAUGAGGUCUAACACAGUAAAUUACAGACCUACAGACAGUAUAUCUACCUAGCUGUGUUGAAUCUGGAUGUGUGUGGAAAUGUGUGUGUGUGUUUGUGUGUGUGUGUGUGAGAGUAUGCGAGUGUGUGUUCUUGUCCAUGCGUUUACCUCUAGACAUUGUGUGUGUGUGUGUGUGUGUGUGUGUGUGUGUGUUUACAUUGUGUGUGUCUUAUACUAACUCCCUUAUUCAAGGAUCCACAAUUUGCUGAAUGGUCUCUGCUCAGGAAUAAAACUUGUGUGUCCAAAAUGGUACUCUCCUAUUGGCCCUGGUCUAAAGUAGUGCACUAUAUAGGGAAUAGGGCUAUGGUCUAAAGUAGUGCACUAUAUAGGGAAUAGGGUGCCAUAGGGCUCUGGUCUAAAGUAGUGCACUAUAUAGGGAAUAGGGUGCCAUAGGGCUCUGGUCUAAAGUAGUGCACUAUAUAGGGAAUAGGGCUCUGGUCUAAAGUAGUGCUCUAUAUAGGGAAUAGGGCUCUGGUCUAAAGUAGUGCUCUAUAUAGGGAAUAGGGCUCUGGUCUAAAGUAGUGCACUAUAUAGGGAAUAGGGCUCUGGUCUAAAGUAGUGCUCUAUAUAGGGAAUAGGGCUCUGGUCUAAAGUAGUGCACUAUAUAGGGAAUAGGGUGCCAUUGGAGAAUCAGCCAAGGACUCAGCAGACAUACAUCUGCUCCAGUAUACACAGGCCUCACAUGGGGCCCAAUCAUAACCUGCCAUCUGCACAUGCUCAGUCUCUCCAGGCCAGACAGAACACGGCAGAUGUCUGCCAGGAGAUGGGGAAAUUUCCCAUAACAACAAACCAUUCUUCUGGUGCGUUGCUUUUCUGCUUAUUAGGGACGAAUCAACCAAUCAAAUCAUGAACAACAAAUCAAAUUUUACGUCACGGAAAUGUAACGAGUUAGCAUUGGUCUGGUCAGUUGAUAUUUGAUCCAGGUCUGGUCAGUUGAUAUUUGAUCCAGGUCUGGUCAGUAGAUAUUUGAUCCAGGUCUGGUCAGUAGUCAGUUGAUAUUUGAUCCAGGUCUGGUCAGUAGUCAGUUGAUAUUUGAUCCAGGUCUGGUCAGUAGUCAGUUGAUAUUUGACUCAGGUCUGGUCAGUUGAUAUUGGAUUCAGGUCUGGUCAGUUGAUAGUUGAUCCAGGUCUGGUCAGUUGAUAUUUGAUCCAGGUCUGGUCAGUAGUCAGUUGAUAUUGGAUUCAGGUCUGGUCAGUAGUCACUUGAUAUUUGAUCCAGGUCUGGUCAGUUGAUAUUUGAUCCAGGUCUGGUCAGUAGUCAGUUGAUAUUUGAUCCAGGUCUGGUCAGUAGUCAGUUGAUAUUUGAUCCAGGUCUGGUCAGUUGAUAUUUGAUCCAGGUCUGGUCAGUAGUCAGUUGAUAUUUGAUCCAGGUCUGGUCAGUUGAUAUUUAAUCCAGGUCUGGUCAGUAGUCAGUUGAUAUUUGAUCCAGGUCUGGUCAGUAGUCAGUUGAUAUUUGAUCCAGGUCUGGUCAGUAGUCAGUUGAUAUUUGAUCCAGGUCUGGUCAGUAGUCAGUUGAUAUUUGAUCCAGGUCUGGUCAGUAGUCAGUUGAUAUUUGAUCCAGGUCUGGUCAGUAGUCAGUUGAUAUUUGAUCCAGGUCUGGUCAGUUGAUAUUUGAUCCAGGUCUGGUCGGUAGUCAGUUGAUAUUUGAUCCAGGUCUGGUCAGUUGAUAUUGGAUUCAGGUCUGGUCAGUUGAUAGUUGAUCCAGGUCUGGUCAGUUGAUAUUUGAUCCAGGUCUGGUCAGUAGUCAGUUGAUAUUUGAUUCAGGUCUGGUCAGUAGUCAGUUGAUAUUUGAUCCAGGUCUGGUCAGUUGAUAUUUGAUCCAGGUCUGGUCAGUUGAUAUUUGAUCCAGGUCUGGUCAGUUGAUAUUUGAUUCAGG
ensembl:lncRNA